AAAGACAAAAAUUACUACUUUACUUUUUUAUUUAAAAAAGCUUUUAAACCUAAAUAAAAGACAAGGUUUUUGUUGCACAGAAUAACUACGCACAUUUUUUUAAAAGUUAAGAAAAUUUGAAUGGAGUGUUUGAAUGCCGAAAAGUUUGGUGGAUACGAUGCACAUUUUUUAGAAGAACUUUCAGACGAACAUGAAUGCCCUAUAUGUAAAAUGGCACUUCGUAAACCUAUUUUAACAAAGUGUGGUCAUCGACUUUGUUUAUCAUGUUCAGAAGAAAUGAAAAAAAGAAAAAACGGUGUUUUAAUUUGCCCAUUAGACAAUAAUAAUUUGAAACCUGAUCAGACUUUUCGAGAUAAAGCAAUUGAAAGAGCCGUUCUGCAAUUAAAAGUUAAAUGUAACAACUUUUUAAAAAAUUGUCAAUGGACUGGAGAACUUAAAGCAAUUAAUAAUCAUUUAGGAUCUUGUGAAUACCAAGAGGUAGAAUGCCUCAAUGAACAGUGUUCUACUUUACUUUUGCGUAAAGAACUAAGUGAUCACACGGAAACAAAAUGCAUUUAUCGUUUGAUUACAUGUCAACAUUGCAAUCAAGAGAUUCGUUUUUGUGAGAAGCAAAAUCACUUGGAAACUUGCGAAUCUCUACCACUUUAUUGUGUAAAUCAAUGUGGCAUGAAAAUUUUGCGUAAAGAGAUGUCAUCUCAUAUCACUGAUAGCUGCGCUAAUACAGUUAUUCCUUGUCAAUACUUUUACGUUGGAUGUAAUUUCAAGGGAAUGAGAAAAGAACAAGAUACUCAUGCCAAUUCUUCAACACAAAAUCAUCUUUCAAUGGCAAUAUCAAAAGUUGUUGCACUUGAAAAUAAAAUAAUGUUAACUGAGAAAGAAAUGGAAACAAAAAUUGCCAUUCUCAAAAAUGAAAUAGAAAUGAGGAAAGAACAACAUGCACGGGUAGAUUUUUUAACACAAAACCAGUUUUUAACAACAUCAAAUAUGGUUGAACUUGAAAAUAAAAUUUUGUUAAUUGAGAAAGAAAUGGAAAUAAAAAUGGUUAUACCCAAAAAUGAAAAGUAAAAUGUCAUAUCACCGGGCUGUUUGGUUGGAAGAAAAUCGUGAGGAAGAAGGAGUCUUACCAUCCGCAUGGGUGCGGGGAAAAGUAGUUAUGUGGCCCCCAUCCAAAAUGAAUGCGUUUAAAUUAAUGAAAGGAGUAGAACCUAAUGAAAAUUGGCGACUUUUUAAACUAAUAAAAAUAAAAAUUACUUCAGAUUGCUACGAGGAUUGUAAUAAUUAUGAUUUAACUACAGAAACUGAAGAAGAUAAUCAGCAAGUUU